UACCAGCACCCCGAGUGGUCGGGACGUUUAUUGGGCCUAUAGCAUCCGUAGCCGGUUCUGCAAGUCUUCCGUUAAAUCCACCUGCUUAACAGAUGGGCCGCGGAAGAUACUAUAGAGCUAGGAGGCGGGAGAGGCAAGCGGUACUCGAUGGGUAGGGGUAAAAUCCGUUGAUCCAUUGAAGACCACCAGUGGCGAAGGCGGCUUGCCAGAACGCGCUCGACGGUGAGGGAUGAAAGCUGGGGGAGCAAACCGG
rnacentral:rRNA from 1 species